rnacentral:lncRNA from 10 species
GGGUAAAGCAAAGUCUUCAAGGGAAGAUAACAAAGGAUGAAACAAUGGUGUUGUGUGACUUCCUAGUGUGAAUCAUGGCAAUACAGUGAAAGACAGUGAUUUACUGCUUUUGAGGGCGUGCAUGUAUAUGAUUAACGGAUGGAAGUGCAGGACUCCAAGAUUUACUUCCUUCCCUUUCCAGCAGAAUUACCUGAGACGAGUAAAAUCUACUGGUGGAGUCACUCCAUUAUUCUUAUCUGUGGAGAUCUAGAUCUUGAUUUGAAAGUUUCUGAGAAAAUCUUCAGCUCAGACUUGAGGGUCAACUUUACCAGCUGAAGGAUCUGCAUUUACUGCUCAACCACAUCUAAUUUGAUGUCCUCUGCAGAUUUAAAAUGUGUGCCUUCUUUUCCGUCACCAAGUCAUCCCUGGGUUACUACUGAACAUCCUUCUCAAUUCCCCCCGACCCAUGGAUGGCUGUUCUCCAUUGUCUGUUUCACCAGAUGUCCUCAAAACAAACAGACAGAAGAAGGAAGUGGCUAAUGGAGCUGUGGAGUCCAAGUGUGACUGCCAAGAGGAAUCCAGCAAAGCCAAAAAGCCCAAGCAUGUAGCCCUGCCCGAAGCACGCCACACGCAUGGAAAACCCAGAGGAAAUGAGUGAGGAUCAAUGGGAAGAAGAGAGCCAGCCAGGUUCGAUGCCUUCUCCAUCCGUCAGUGAGGGUGUGGAGAGCCUGCAGGCGUGUGCCUCCCUCUGUAACUUGCUAUUCCUUGUGUAAUGUCAAGUGGAAGUGUGAAGCACCACAAACUGCUCUGAGCAGAGCCCACUUCCCUUCACCCACGGAGAGCGUGAAGCAGUUACACCAACAUCAAUCAAGGAAAACCCACAGGCUGAGCUCACACGGUUGAAGCAGGAAGUUGAAGAUUUGUCCAGGAGCAGAUAGCUGAAGAGAGAGAGAGAGAAGAGAGAACGGCUUACAGCUCAGGUCCUCUCUCCAUGCUUAGGAACCACUACAAAUGCUACUGCCUUGAGUCUCAUUUUGUUUCCCUCUGGAAACCACAUGUGUACCUUGUUUGCAACAGUAUGGUUCUGGAGACCAGAAGGCCAAAAUCAAAAGUAUGGGCAGGCUUGAUUUCUUUAGAAGACUCCAGCGGAGAACUGUGUCUCCUUGCUUCUGAUUCUACAUCUCCAUCCAUGGGCCACUGUUUCAGCAACCUCAGCCAGUGCAACACAACCUCAGCCAAGAAGAUUUGUUAGACUUUGGAUGGUGGAGACCUGUGCCUGCUACUUCUCUCAUCUCCUGAUACCUAAUGCAUAGUGUUCAGGCACCGAGGAAGAGAACCAAUGGCAGAGGCCACAUGUGCAAGCAAGAUGGGAGUCUGGAGAGCCUCAGGCUAAAUCACGAGUGCUCAGCCCUCUCCUCUUUGUAAGGGCAACCGGGUCAUAUCUGCCAGCAUAGAACUGCUCUGUCCACAGCCCUAAAAUCUAAUACCUAGAACAAUAAAUGCACUUAAGCACGUCAAA